CAAAUGAAUUGACGGGACCCGCACAAGCAGCGGAGCGUGUGGUUUAAUUCGUUGCUACACGAAGAACCUUACCUGGGUUUGACAUAUAGGUUGUAGGGAACUGAAAAGGGACCGACCCUUCGGGAGCCUAUACAGGUGUUGCAUGGCUGUCGUCAGCUCGUGUCGUGAGAUGUUCGGUUAAGUCCCGCAACGAGCGCAACCCUUGUCAUUAGUUGCUACGAAAGGGCACUCUAAUGAGACUGCCGGUGACAAACCGGAGGAAGGUGGGGAUGACGUCAAGUCCUCAUGGCCCUUAUAGGUGGGGCUACACACGUCAUACAAUGGCUGGUACAAAGGGUUGCCAACCCGCGAGGGGGAGCCAAUCCCAUAAAGCCAGUCGUAGUCCGGAUCGCAGUCUGCAACUCGACUGCGUGAAGUCGGAAUCGCUAGUAAUCGUGGAUCAGCAUGUCACGGUGAAUACGUUCCCGGGUCUU
rnacentral:rRNA from 1 species